AUAACCUUAGCCCAAGUGCAACCCUCGUGAAAUUCGUGUUAACCAAAAACCUAACCUUGCUACGCCAUUUUUGGCUCGUGUCUGUCUCUCGUCUGCCCCGUCACCUUGGCCAGAUUCGCGUGGACUUUGACACUGGGACGGGACAGUGGCGCGACGCCGCGCGUCGCGUCGCCUCGCGGUCCUGUAGAGUAGAAACCAACUGACUUGGAUCGUGGAAAGAGCCCCACCAUCGGCGUGGGCUCGCAGGCCCACGGCACACGACUGACAGUUCCCAGUCAGCUGAUCGUCCACCGGGGGGGUAAGGGGGCAGAGCAGCAGCAGCAGCAGCAGUAGCAGCAGCAGUAAAGUAGUAGUAGUAGUAGUAGCAGCACGACCAGCAGCAGGAGGUGGUGGAGGUGGCGGAGGAGGAAGGUAGAGGAGGGGGGUGUGGAGAAGAAGGGAAGGAGGGCAGAGGGGUUGGCGACGCGCAGUCUGCCGUCGUCGUCGGGAUCAGCUGAUCGGUGGAGGUGUACUGGUAACUGACUGACUGUGAACUCUGAAUGAACGAACGGAUGAAGAAGUCUUCGCGUGCGUACACGUAUAGGGAGAGCUCUCGCCGGUGCCUCUCCCGGGGGAGGGGGAGAGAGCGAGCGCGUAUGCGCGCCUGCCUGCCUAACUAUGCGCCAGAGAGCACUCGCGGGCACAAGCGUUUAGUAGCAAACGGAAAUAGUGGCCCGGACACGGGAUAGCCAGGAUCAUCUCCGCGCUUUCCAACACCGCCGAGGAGGAGCGUAAAAAUUGAGGAAACAAACGCUUGGAAAAUCGAGAUCCAAACUUAGCUAGAUUGAGUGGAAUUCGACUCGACCGAGCAAUUUCUUUUGUUGUUGUCGUCCGAGGCGCACGAGACGGACGAUGAAGAGAGAAAGAGGGUCGACAGUCAAAAUAAACUUAUCCUUGAGUUUCAGCACGCGUUAAGGGGGGAAUCCCUGUGUCUUUAGAAGUAAGCAGUGCGCAGUUAUAUACAGUAGUUGUACAAGUAGUAUUGCUGGUACUUGGUUUCCAAGCGUGAUAAACGUUUGGUUCACGUUUGGAUGGAAUAUAGAGGAACGGAAAGAAACAAUUUAGAUUAAGGGCACGUAAGAUAGAGGAAUAUAGUAAUGGAGAAAUUAGUGAUAUUAAUUUUUGAAUAUUUAACGAAUAUUAAAAACUAGAUCUAAUUUUUUUUUCUAAUUUAUCGAAACCUUGCGAUUGGUUAAAGGAUAUCAAACUUUUAUUUUUUGUUCAUCGAUAGAUCGUAACUUUUAUAGUUAUUCGAUUAAAUUCGUUCGUCAGCCGAUAGUAUCGAGAAGAUCGAUAUGAAAUUGCGUAAUACGCCAUUAAACAUACGCGUAUCAUAUUCGUCCGCGAAAAUAGAUAGAAAAGAAUUCGUGUCGAAUGCGGAACAUGAUAACGAUCCGAUCAAAAUAAAAUUUUACGUAAUUCUUGUUAAAUCGUACAUUGUUUCAAGCGCGAAAAAUCGAAUCUAUGUUUACACGAUAUUUUUUUUUUAUUCAUUUCACA